GUGGGUUUUUCCUUCUUUAACUGAGGGGUACCAACAAUUUUGUCCACGUGUGUAUUCUCAUGUUUCAGGUGGUUCACAGAGUCUGUGGGGCAUUUGAAAGAUUUAGGGAGGGCCUGAAGACCCUUGGUGUUCUAGAUGCAAUGAGGAUUCAGCCAGACAGUUUCAGACCUUUAAUGUGUCAUGAACCAUCUCCACUCACUGCUGACGCAAUGGAUCAGCUUUUCCACAUCCGCCUGUCUGCUGUGGGAAGCAACAAGAGAAUGGCAGAGGAACGUAUUGUGGCAUUUUGGAGGGAUUACCUGCAGGAUGUAGAAGAGCAAGUGGGUCCCUCAGCACUAGGUAAAAUCCUAGCUUUUGCGACGGGUGCAAGUGUCAUCCCUCCAGUUGGAUUCUCCCCACUGCCAUCAGUUGAUUUCCUGCAUGAUCAGUCCAUCAGCCCUGGACGCUAUUUGCCUAUGGCACACACCUGCAUUAACUGCCUUAAAGCUGCUGUCCGGAGUUUGAAUCGCAGCGUCUCCCAAAACACUGGUGGUCCCACCCUCUGAUUUCGCCCCUUUAUUUGUGCACGCGCGCAGUACAUGAGAGAAGUGCCCGGAGUGCAGCAGCAUUUUGCCUGUUUUGCUGUUUUCCCCUCUUCUACAUUUAGUACAUUUAGUAAAUAAUAAAGGAAUUACGUUAGAAUGCUGUAUUGAGUCUAACUUGUCCUAAUACCAAAAUAACAUGAAUCUGCUAGGACGAACGAGUAAAGUUUCAAUAUGUGAUUACACUCGUGUAUCCCUCUCGAUGACGUUGUUUAUCAAACUUAGUGCAUUUACGCGUGUAUAUGUGUUACAUUGUUUAUUUAUUUCUAUCUAGAGUUCAGAAUUGCAUGACUCCUCUGACGAAGAGUAUGUCCCAGACGCCCCAACAUCUUCCUCCAGAGGUCGGGCAUCUAAACGAAGCCGUCAGGCGGGCUAUGGAGGCCGUGGUCGGGGAGCGACGCGAGCACCCCGAGGAUUUCAGGGAGAGUAUGGACUUUGCAUUGAGUAACACACAGGGUUUUGGUAGAGAAUAACUUUUGAAGAUUGUGUGUUCCUACCACAAUGCAGUGCUCAGGAUGUUUCAGUUAGAAUGUAUGAACAUAUGAACUGCUGUUUUGGUUUUCUUUCCCCUCUUUGAUUAGGUGUUUGCAGAGGAAAAACAGUUUUGGGGGAAAAAUAUUGUUAAGGAUGUGAUCUUUUACAGGGAUUAGCUGAAAUUUGUUUUUAAAUUUUUGUACCUUUUUUCUGUCACUCAUUUUUGAUCAACAGUGUUGAUUAUAUAUCAGAUUUGUGGUUGUGAGGCAAACUGUUUUGUUCUGGCAUUUCACAUUAAAGCACUGUAUAAAUGCAGCCAUUAACUAUUUGUUACAAAACAAGCCAUGGAGUUUAAGCUGUUAGGCAGCUUUUCUACUGUUCACUAAGAAAAUUCACCAGGCCUAAAAAUAAUUGUAUGCCAUGGUUUCCAUCACCAUUCAGUGGGUCUAUGGCUUCGUUAACUCUGUUCAUGACAGUUUCAUUUACAAUAAAGUCAUUAACAGGAACAACUACAUUGUUUUCAGUGUCUAACUGUAGAAGGGUGUCUUCACUGAUUUCCAAGGUAUCAUUUCCAGCAAAACUGUCCUGCAUUGCACUAGCACCGGCACUGUUAAGAACCCCUCUCUGCCACAGCUGAAGAGGUGUUGGUCCUCCCUGUGUGGAUAAUCCAUGAUUGUUCCACUGACUUCUGAAUUCUGCAGCUGCCCUCUGAACUCUUGGCAAGUAGAUAUAGUGUAGACAAAACAUAUGGAGUUCAUCUGUAGAAUCCAGUAUGCCCUCAUUUUCCAUGAAGGUGAAGAGAUUACUGAAGUGGAAGGAGACAACUCGGUUUAGCUCUGCCCACAGUCGUUCUAUCCUCUGAUUGUGGACACUGCGUCCAGUUAUGACACUGCCUCUAUUUACCCCCCUUCUCUCCAGCAUGUAUCGGGCAACUCCUGUGUUCCCCAUGCCGUGGUCACAGCGUACUCUCAAGGGAAGGCCAAAGCUCUGUACACCAGUGCGGAACAGUUGCAGUACACUUGAU